CGAACGCUGGCGGCGCGUUUUAAGCAUGCAAGUCGAACGGUAAUAGAGUGCUUGCACUCUAUGAGAGUGGCGAACGGGUGAGUAACACGUAGAUGAUCUGCCUUACGAUUGGGGAUAGCCCAUGGAAACAUGGAGUAAUACCGAAUAAGCCCUUACUGCCUUGGUGGUUUGGGGAAAGGUGCUUCGGGAUCGUCGUAAGAUGAGUCUGCGGUUCAUUAGCUAGUUGGUGGGGUAAAGGCCUACCAAGGCGACGAUGAAUAGCCGGCCUGAGAGGGUGAACGGCCACACUGGGACUGAGACACGGCCCAGACUCCUACGGGAGGCAGCAGCUAAGAAUCUUCCGCAAUGGACGAAAGUCUGACGGAGCGACGCCGCGUGAAUGAUGAAGGCCGGAAGGUUGUAAAAUUCUUUUCCUGGGGAAGAAUAAUGUUUGGAGGUAAUGCCAGACAGAUGACAUUAACCAGGGAAUAAGCCACGGCUAAUUAC
rnacentral:rRNA from 1 species